rnacentral:ncRNA from 1 species
UCGUUUCCAAAAAAUGUGUUGAAAGUUGGAGACACAAAGCCGCGGGUCUAACGUUUGCGACAAACUAGGACAGCCGGGUUGCCAAA